GUGAACGCUGGCGGCGUGCCUAAUACAUGCCAGUCGAGCGAACGGACGAGAAGCUUGCUUCUCUGAUGUUAGCGGCGGACGGGUGAGUAACACGUGGAUAACCUACCUAUAAGACUGGGAUAACUUCGGGAAACCGGAGCUAAUACCGGAUAAUAUUUUGAACCGCAUGGUUCAAAAGUGAAAGACGGUCUUGCUGUCACUUAUAGAUGGAUCCGCGCUGCAUUAGCUAGUUGGUAAGGUAACGGCUUACCAAGGCAACGAUGCAUAGCCGACCUGAGAGGGUGAUCGGCCACACUGGAACUGAGACACGGUCCAGACUCCUACGGGAGGCAGCAGUAGGGAAUCUUCCGCAAUGGGCGAAAGCCUGACGGAGCAACGCCGCGUGAGUGAUGAAGGUCUUCGGAUCGUAAAACUCUGUUAUUAGGGAAGAACAUAUGUGUAAGUAACUGUGCACAUCUUGACGGUACCUAAUCAGAAAGCCACGGCUAACUACGUG
rnacentral:rRNA from 1 species